rnacentral:rRNA from 1 species
AUUGAACGCUGGCGGCAGGCCUAACACAUGCAAGUCGAGCGGAGCGGCGGCCGGGUGAGUAAUGUCUGGGAAACUGCCUGAUGGAGGGGGAUAACUACUGGAAACGGUAGCUAAUACCGCAUACCAUCAGAUGUUCCCAGGUGGGAUUAGCUAGUAGGGGGGGUAAAGGCCUACAAAGGCGACUAUCCGUAACUGGUCUGAGAGGAUGAUCAGUCCAACUGGAACUGAUACACGGUCCAGACUCUUACGGGAGGCAGCAGUUGGGAAUAUUGGACAAUGGGCGAAAGCCUGAUCCAGCCAUGCCGCGUGUGUGAAGAAGGUCUUCGGAUUGUAAAGCACUUUAAGUUGGGAGGCGUGACCAACAGAAUAAGCACCGGCUAACUUCGUGCCAGCAGCCGCGGUAAUAC